AUAUUUUUGAAAUUUGCGCCUGGAAAGCGUGUAUAGGGGCAACUCUAUCAGGGGUUCAAAUCCCCUUCUCUCCGCCA
rnacentral:tRNA from 1 species